rnacentral:lncRNA from 1 species
AUGAUGCCGAAGAAAGACAAGAAGCAUAUGUGGUCAACAUGGAAGUUUAAUUUGGACCUUACUCAUUCAAUAGAAGAUGGAACUUUUGAUUCUGGAAAUUUUGAACAGUUUCUAAAAGGUUAAAAUCAAUGGAAAAACUGAAAAUCUCACAGAUGUUGUUAACAGUGAAUGCUUCAAAAAUAAAAUCACAGUUGUUUCUGAGAAACAAUUUUCUAAAAGGUCCUUAAAAUGCCUCACCAAGAAAUACCUUAGGGAGAACAAUCUUCGUGAUUGGCCUUGAGUGGCUGCAUCCUGCAAGGAGCCUCACUGACCUCACUGCCUCCCCAUCAGUCACAGUGAAGAU